CGGCACAGAUUCGGGUUUCUUUUCUAACUCUUUGUCAUCAAGUACAUACGCAAGGUAUGCUUCGCACCCCUUUCUUACAUAUUUCUGAGCCAACAUUGAUGAUAUUACAGCUGGCAACCCCUUUAAGUCCGUAGACUCAACUCGGAUUAUCUCGUUACUUGCGCACCUCAAAUCAAUAGUCUUGCUUUUGCAAUUCACAACUGCAUCAUGCACGGUCAACCAAUCCAAACCAAGAAUAACAUCAAAUUCAUCAAACGGCAAAAGCAUCAAGUCCGCCG
rnacentral:lncRNA from 1 species